GCUACAGGCUUAACACAUGCAAGUCGAGGGGCAGCAUGGUCUUAGCUUGCUAAGGCCGAUGGCGACCGGCGCACGGGUGAGUAACACGUAUCCAACCUGCCGUCUACUCUUGGACAGCCUUCUGAAAGGAAGAUUAAUACAAGAUGGCAUCAUGAGUCCGCAUGUUCACAUGAUUAAAGGUAUUCCGGUAGACGAUGGGGAUGCGUUCCAUUAGAUAGUAGGCGGGGUAACGGCCCACCUAGUCUUCGAUGGAUAGGGGUUCUGAGAGGAAGGUCCCCCACAUUGGAACUGAGACACGGUCCAAACUCCUACGGGAGGCAGCAGUGAGGAAUAUUGGUCAAUAGGCGAGAGCCUGAACCAGCCAAGUAGCGUGAAGGAUGACUGCCCUAUGGGUUGUAAACUUCUUUUAUAAAGGAAUAAAGUCGGGUAUGGAUACCCGUUUGCAUGUACUUUAUGAAUAAGGAUCGGCUAACUCCGUGCCAGCAGCCGCGGUAAUACGGAGGAUCCGAGCGUUAUCCGGAUUUAUUGGGUUUAAAGGGAGCGUAGAUGGAUGUUUAAGUCAGUUGUGAAAGUUUGCGGCUCAACCGUAAAAUUGCAGUUGAUACUGGAUAUCUUGAAUGCAGUUGAGGCAGGCGGAAUUCGUGGUGUAGCGGUGAAAUGCUUAGAUAUCACGAAGAACUCCGAUUGCGAAGGCAGCCUGCUAAGCUGCAACUGACAUUGAGGCUCGAAAGUGUGGGUAUCAAACAGGAUUAGAUACCCUGGUAGUCCACACGGUAAACGAUGAAUACUCGCUGUUUGCGAUAUACGGCAAGCGGCCAAGCGAAAGCGUUAAGUAUUCCACCUGGGGAGUACGCCGGCAACGGUGAAACUCAAAGGAAUUGACGGGGGCCCGCACAAGCGGAGGAACAUGUGGUUUAAUUCGAUGAUACGCGAGGAACCUUACCCGGGCUUAAAUUGCAGAUGAAUUACGGUGAAAGCCGUAAGCCGCAAGGCAUCUGUGAAGGUGCUGCAUGGUUGUCGUCAGCUCGUGCCGUGAGGUGUCGGCUUAAGUGCCAUAACGAGCGCAACCCUUGUUGUCAGUUACUAACAGGUUCCGCUGAGGACUCUGACAAGACUGCCAUCGUAAGAUGUGAGGAAGGUGGGGAUGACGUCAAAUCAGCACGGCCCUUACGUCCGGGGCUACACACGUGUUACAAUGGGGGGUACAGAGGGCCGCUACCACGCGAGUGGAUGCCAAUCCCCAAAACCUCUCUCAGUUCGGACUGGAGUCUGCAACCCGACUCCACGAAGCUGGAUUCGCUAGUAAUCGCGCAUCAGCCACGGCGCGGUGAAUACGUUCCCGGGCCUUGUACACACCGCCCGUCAAGCCAUGGGAGCCGGGGGUACCUGAAGUGCGUAACCGCGAGGAGCGCCCUAGGGUAAAACUGGUGACUGGGGCUAAAUC
rnacentral:rRNA from 1 species